rnacentral:rRNA from 1 species
UACGUAGGGUGCGAGCGUUAAUCGGAAUUACUGGGCGUAAAGCGUGCGCAGGCGGUUAUGUAAGACAGAUGUGAAAUCCCCGGGCUCAACCUGGGACCUGCAUUUGUGACUGCAUAGCUAGAGUACGGUAGAGGGGGAUGGAAUUCCGCGUGUAGCAGUGAAAUGCGUAGAUAUGCGGGGGAACACCGAUGGCGAAGGCAAUCCCCUGGACCUGUACUGACGCUCAUGCACGAAAGCCAGGGGAGCGAAC